rnacentral:tRNA from 1 species
UGGCACAGUGGUUAAGUGCUUGGCUGCUAACCAAGAGGUUGGUGGUUCGAACCCACC